CAGUGCAGGUGGUGAAUGUCACCUAUGAGAAAAUCUCAGAAACCUCUUAUGCUGUGGUCAUUACGUUUAACCUGGUUAACAUCAGCAUGCCAAAGGACCCUGAGCACAGAGGCAACACCAAACAUCAAGUGCAGGAUAUCAUCAAUAAUGCGCUGAACACUCUUCUGAAUGAACCUGGCAAGAUCGUUUUUGAACCCAAGUCUUCCAAUUUUACG